rnacentral:rRNA from 1 species
UACGGAGGGAGCAAGCGUUACUCGGAAUUAUUGGGCGUAAAGGGCGCGUAGGCGAUUUGAAAAGUCUUGUGUGAAAGCCCCGGGCUUAACCCGGGAAGUGCACAAGAAACUGUUGAAUUUGAGUUCCGGAGAGGAAGGCAGAAUUCCCGGUGUAGCGGUGAAAUGCGUAGAUAUCGGGAGGAAUACCAGUGGCGAAGGCGGCCUUCUGGACGGAUACGUGACGCUGAGGCGCGAAAGCCAGGGGAGCAAACGGG